rnacentral:RNase_P_RNA from 1 species
AAGCUGAAUGGUCGCGCACAUUUGUGUGAGGAAAGUCCGGGCUCCAUAGGACAGGGUGCAAGCUAACGGCUUGUGGAGGCGACUCUAAGGAUAGUGCAACAGAAAUAUACCGCCUGCCGAUGCAGGUAAGGGUGGAAAGGCGAGGUAAGAGCUCACCCGGCUGUAUGGUGACGUACGGCUGCUGUAAACCCCACUCGGAGCAACGCUUGAAUGGAAGGCUUAACCGGUCCGGCUACUUCCGAAAAGGCGGCUUGAGGCGUGCGGCGACGUGCGUCCCAGAUAGAUGACCAUUUUUAACAGAACCCGGCUUAUGGCU